rnacentral:rRNA from 1 species
GAGUUACUGGGCGUAAAGGGUGUGUAGGCGGCCUUCUAAGUUUGGUGUGAAAUCUCCCGGCUCAACCGGGAGGGUGCGCCGAAGACUGGGGGGCUAGAGGAUGGGAUGGGAAAGUGGAAUUCCUGGUGUAGCGGUGAAAUGCGUAGAUAUCAGGAGGAACACCUGCGGUGUAGACGGCUUUCUGGACCAACCCUGACGCUGAGACACGAAAGCGUGGGUAGCAAACAGGAUUAGAUACCCUGGUAGUCCACGCCCUAAACGAUGCAUAUUUGGUGUGGGUCAUUCAUUUGGUCCGUGCCGGAGCUAACGCGUUAAAUAUGCCGCCUGGGGAGUACAGUCGCAAGGCUGAAACUCAAAGGAAUUGACGGGGGCCCGCACAAGCGGUGGAGCAUGUGGUUCAAUUCGACGCAACGCGAAGAACCUUACCUAGGCUCGAAAUGCUUUGGACAAUCUUUGGAAACAGAGACUUCCCGCAAGGGACCGGAGUAUAGGUGCUGCAUGGCU